AUAAUAAAAUAUUUUUUUAGAGGAUUAAAUUAGAUGUGACAUCUUCUUUAUUCCUUGAGUUUUGGGACACGAGUUGUACAACUUGAUCGUCUUAAAACUCGUAUUUUAAUAUAUCUAUUCAAAUCAAACUCUUUUAUUUUUCUAUUUUGUCAAAACAUUUUUUAUCACAAAACAAAUUUUCUUUAAAACACACUCAACACAUCCGUUUUUUUU
rnacentral:lncRNA from 1 species